GAGCAGGGGAGGGACAGAUCCCUGCCAGGGAAACUGUCUGUUGCUGAGAAGGGGUCCUGGAAGAGGGGGACAGAGGGAGGAUCUAUGAAACGAGGAGGGCAGCUAAAAGCAAAUGGGCAAGUGUCCGAGGGACAUCUUGAGGAGUGAAAAGCCUGCUCUGCUCUUCCUGCCCAGCUCAUUCACCCCUGCACAGUCCGUUCAAAUCCACCUUCUCUCAGAACCUAUAAAGACUGUAAAACGACAAGGAGGAAACAUCCCCUGGGUCUCGGGAAAUUGUCAGGAGUGAUGACAUCACAGGAAAACCACCAACCAAGGAGAAGGCGAACAGAGCCCAGCCCCCUAGCCCAGAGCAUCCUGGUCCAUGAUACCCAUCUGGUCCUGACUCUACCAUGGGCUGCAGGCUGCUGCACUGUGUGGUCCUCUGUGUCCUGGGAGCAGUCCCCAUGGACACUGGAGUUACCCAGAUGCCAAGACACCUGGUCAUGGGAAUGACAGAAAAGAAGUCUUUGGAAUGUGAACAAAAUCUGGGCCACAAUGCUAUGUAUUGGUAUAAACAGAGUGCUAAGAAGCCGCUGGAGCUCAUGUUUGUCUUCAACUAUAAGAAACUCGCAGAAAACUUGACUACGUCGAGUCGCUUCUUACCUGAAUUCCAGGACAACUCUCACUUUUAUCUUCACCUGGACACUAUGCAGCCAGAAGACUCAGCCACGUAUCUCUGUGCCAGCAGCCAAGACACAGCCUGGCAGAGUCACCGCCUCCCUGUGCACAAACCUUCGGGCCCAGCCAGGAAGCUGUGGGAGCAACCGAGGGCUUGGUUGAGCAUUUCUUGUGAGAAGCCUGCCAGAAGUUUCAGAACACAGUACCACCUGCUCAUUCAACCCAUGCGGCAACUUAGAUUGUGUGCACAUGUUUAGCAUGUGUGUUUUCGUUUACCUGAAUGUGGCUCUGCCCUGUCAACUCAUUUAAAAAAAAAAAAAAAGAAA